GAUGAAGAACGUAGCGAAAUGCGAUACGUAAUGUGAAUUGCAGAAUUCAGUGAAUCAUCGAGUCUUUGAACGCACAUUGCGCCCCCUGGUAUUCCGGGGGGCAUGCCUGUCCGAGCGUCAUUGCUGCCCUCAAGCACGGCUUGUGUGUUGAGCCUCCGUCCUCCUCCCGGGGGACGGGCCCGAAAGGCAGCGGCGGCACCGCGUCCGGUCCUCGAGCGUAUGGGGCUUCGUCACCCGCUCUUGUAGGCCCGGCCGGCGCUUGCCGACACAUCAAUCUUUUUUCCAGGCUGACCUCGGAUCAGGUAGGGAUACCCGCUGAACUUAAGCAUAUCAAUAAGCGGAGGA
rnacentral:misc_RNA from 1 species